rnacentral:rRNA from 1 species
GACGAACGCUGGCGGCGUGCUUAACACAUGCAAGUCGAACGGAAAGGCCCUGCUUUUGUGGGGUGCUCGAGUGGCGAACGGGUGAGUAACACGUGAGUAACCUGCCCUUGACUUUGGGAUAACUUCAGGAAACUGGGGCUAAUACCGGAUAGGAGCUCCUGUUGCAUGGUGGGGGUUGGAAAGUUUCGGCGGUUGGGGAUGGACUCGCGGCUUAUCAGCUUGUUGGUGGGGUAGUGGCUUACCAAGGCUUUGACGGGUAGCCGGCCUGAGAGGGUGACCGGCCACAUUGGGACUGAGAUGCGGCCCAGACUCCUACGGGAGGCAGCAGUGGGGAAUAUUGCACAAUGGGCGGAAGCCUGAUGCAGCAACGCCGCGUGCGGGAUGACGGCCUUCGGGUUGUAAACCGCUUUCGCCUGUGACGAAGCGUGAGUGACGGUAAUGGGUAAAGAAGCACCGGCUAACUACGUG